GUAAUGAACCAAAGCGUCCGUUGCUAUGCUGGUUCCUUGGCUCUAUUUUACCUCGUAUUGGUCGCAAAGGAAGGAGGAUGCAGGCAGUUCUAGUUCUAUUUCACAACAAAAUCGCUCGCUCAGUCCGCGCAAAAUUAUUACCUCAGAAUUUCUCUCCAAGGACGGUGUUUUUAACGAUGACAACCUGCUGACUACCUGCUGCUUCAGAGGACCGAAAAGACUGGAAAGAGAACACUUUCUUUACCGUAUAUUUGUCAUUAUACAAGUACAAAUAGGAAUAAAUCAUUUAAGAUGUUUUUAGAUUGACGUUACUGUAUUUAUAUACCUCAGCCUGCCUAGUCAGCUAGCCAGCUACAGUAACCAGCUGGCUAGCCUGACAGUUUUAUUUAGCUAACGUUAGCUAGCUAGCAAGCAAGCUACUGUAACUGUUAAUUGCAGCUUUCUGUUUGUAUGUAACGUUAGCUUGCACUUUAAUGGCAUCCCUCGAGGAGAUUUUCUUUUAUCUUUCUAACCAGGAGAAGUACUAUGAUGACACCACUGAUCUCGACAAGAGGCGCAACAUUCAGAGAAAUUCACAAUUCAGAGUAACUUUAAACAGUUAACUUCUAUUAGAUAACUGGACGGAUUUAGCUAUGUACAACCAUUUUUCAACAACCAUUUUCAAUCUAACGUUCGCUAAUUACUAACUAUACAUUUAGUUCAGUGGAGCAGAGGCUGCUGAGGAGAGGAUGGCUCAUAAUAUGGAUUAAAUGGAAUGGUAUCAAACGCGUGGUCUCCAUGUGGUUGAUGCCAUACAAUUGACUCCAUUCCAGACAUUAUUAUGAGCUGCCCUCCACUCAGCAGCCUCCACUGAUAUAGUUAUAUGUCUGUCAUAUUGCGGUAUCUAGCUAUAAAUUAAACCUGAUCAAUCAAAUGGAUGGGUGUAAGCAAUUAUGGUAAUUACAACUGUCCUUAACUAGGUGUCUUUGCUAGACAGACACAGGGAGGAUGAAAGUGAGAGACAGACAGACAGACACAGAGCAAACAACAGCAGUGCAAAUGUACUUAGACUUGAGUAUUUCAACAACUCUUCUUCCAACAAAAAUCACAUCUACCUACGGGGAAAGGAUGGCCAGUCACACAAGAGGGUGAUUUUUACUAAGGAGGAGAAGGAGGCCAUGCUGACUGAGAUGCAUGCUGGCCAUUUCAGAGGGAAGCGCAUGAUUGCCAAAAUCAACCUAUGCUUCUUCUGACGAGGAAUUGUCAAGGAUGAGUACAGCUGGGAAAGUGAAAUAACCUUCUGUUUAUUAAUCACAUUCUAUUAUAUAUGAAAUAUUAUGAUUUCAAUGAAUGUCAUAUUAGAGAGCACACAAUGUUUCAAUUGGUCACUUUUUGCAUAAAGUUCAGUACCCUGUCUAGCCUGCCAGAAGUUUGAGAGGGUGAAGACUGUGGCGCCGGAGUUGAAGCUAAUCAAAGUUGUUUCACCAUGGCACAUGAUCUGAUGAGACUAACAAGGCCGCCUUCAAGACGAUGGUGGACAUCUUCAACACCUGCCCCCCAGGAGGUAUCCCAUCCACCAGAACCAGUGAGUUCAGGUCAGUCGGUGGGGGACCAGCUUGAGGAACUAGGGGUUCUGCCCAACACCCAGACGUGGAUCCAACUGAUGUCAUCCAUUACCAACCACCCUCCAACUUUUCAUUACUUAAUCUACAUCUACUGUUGUUGUCAUUAUCUGCUAAGAAAGUUUUCUUGCUCUCAUACCAGGCACAUAAUAUGUGAGAUUACUAAAAACACUGCACUGCAAACACUCAAAACAAAGAGAGCAGCAGUGCCUGGACUUUGCAGUCUCUCUCUUUAAGCCCCCCUUCUGAGACUGGCUAUCAAAGUUCAUGUAUUACAAUCUUAAAUAUUGCCAGGUUGGUUUUCACAGCUGUUUCACAAGGUGUUCAUUAUUGUAAGUUAUCUUUUGUUUGUAUUUAUUUGCUCCACAUUAUUCAUUGUUGUAUCCAAGGACCUACAAUAGAUACAUAUAUAUUCAACCACAAGUGUGUACUGAUGAGCUAUGCGAGAUAGGAAAAAAAAAUUCAUAAAAGGACUACUGAAAUUAGAUUACAAUAGAUACAUAUAUAAGACAAGGUGACCGGAAACAUGACCGAAUACAAACAGUGCUAUAUAGCUAUUCCCUCCGCAAGGCAAUUAAACAAGCUAAGCGUCAGCAUAGAGACAAAGUAGAGUCGCAAUUCAACGGCUUAGACACGAGAGGUAUGCGGCAUGGUCUAUAGUCAAUCAUGGACUACAAAAAGAAAACCAACCCCGUCGCGGACCACGAUGUCUUGCUCCCAGACAAACGAAACAACUUCUUUCCUCGCUUUGAGGACAAUACA